UUGUUCUGAUUACUAUGUGUCAGAG
rnacentral:misc_RNA from 1 species